rnacentral:rRNA from 1 species
GGGCCCGCACAAGCAGUGGAGCAUGUGGUUUAAUUCGAUGCAACGCGAAGAACCUUACCAGGCCUUGACAUCCCCGGAACUUUCUAGAGAUAGAUUGGUGCCUUCGGGAACCGGGUGACAGGUGCUGCAUGGCUGUCGUCAGCUCGUGUCGUGAGAUGUUGGGUUAAGUCCCGUAACGAGCGCAACCCUUGUCCUUAGUUGCCAGCAUUUAGUUGGGCACUCUAGAGAGACCGCCGGUGAUAAACCGGAGGAAGGUGUGGAUGACGUCAAGUCAUCAUGGCCCUUACGGCCUGGGCUACACACGUGCUACAAUGGCUAGGACAGACGGCCGCAAACCCGCGAGGGGGAG